AAAUUGCUCCUCCGACGCACCACAUCUGAGAUCUUCAAUUCUUCAACACUAAUGCUGAACACUGGAUGGAUACAGAAAGUAAACACUGCGAUUGUGACGGCCUCCUGAGCACUUCUGCUUGAGAUGUUAGACUUCUGUCCUACAUAUUGGUACGUUGCCAGCUUAGCGCUGUCAUUUCCUAUCGCUUUCACGUUCCCUACUCUUUUUCAUGUUCUCCCAGCACUGCCUGUCCCCUCAGCCCCCCCCCCCCCCUCACACACACACACACACAUCCACCACCCUCCUUUGUAUCGUUUUUCAAUGCAGGCGUGUGAAUACAUGAAUGACAAUGGCGUGUGUGGGUGACAGCUGAGAUUUGUGACAAGCGCUGACCGAAAAGCGAUGGCAGAGAGUUUGGCUUGCAGACAAUUGGCACAUAAAAAUCCCUCGUAUAAACUCAACGUCCGGUCGCCUCUGCUUGGUCAUUCCGGCAGCCGACGAUGAGUGAUUUCCAUAUCCAGUGAGAAUGUAUUUAUUUCUGUGCACCUUUCACCUCCUGCGUAAUUUAUAUUCAUCCAAGUCCCUUUUUUAAAACUUGCAGAAAGUCGAGCGGAUUAUUUAUUAAAAUGCAAACUGUUAAGUAUGAUUUCGUAAUAAGCAGAUCUUAGUCAGGAUAAUGAAUGUAAGACUCUUAAUAAAGGGUUGCUUCUGUUUCCCCAGGCUAAAUAAAUCUCAUCUGCAUUUUAAAAGAACCAAACUUUUGGCUAAGUUUGUUUCCUUAAAAAAAGCAAAAAAAAAAAAAGCCUGUCAGACGUUCUUCAAACUGCUUGUGAAAAUGUACUGCUUUUAUUGAAUCGUAUAUGUGUUUGGCUGUUCCACCUAGGAGGUGUGCAUAUGAAUUAUUUAGACGAGGAAAAACAACCAGUGUUUGAGCGGCUACUUCCUGAUUCCCUUUAACUUUAACGGAGUAAACAAAGAGUACUUAGCCGACUUAAAGUUCAACUUAUUUCCAGAAUGUCCGUUAAGGAAAACAAGUCGGACCACGCUCCCCUGAGCAGCUUUGAUGGUGGACAAAGAAUGUGUUAUCAAUCUUCUCAUUGUUGCAUGAGUACAAAACUAUAAUCCACUCGUCAGUAACUUUGAAUGUCUCCAAAAAAAAAAUAAACGUUUUUACCACGACUUGGGAUGUUUUCCGUCUCCAAAAGAAACGAGGUAAAAUCCCCCUCCAGGGGUGAGAAAUCUAACUCUUACCCUUUCCCCAGAAAUAAUGCCUGAUGCAAAUUGAAACUGAAAUGAGACAGAAGCCGAGGACCGUACGCAUAGUCGCUUUCUCCCUUAUCUCCCCUCCCUCUCCUCCCCCCCUCAACAAGAAUCCCAUUAGGCGCUUCAGGCUGCAGACAAGGAGGAAAA